rnacentral:rRNA from 1 species
UUAAGAUACUAAGAGCAUACGGUGGAUGCCUUGGCGAUAUCUGCCGACGAAGGACGUGACAAGCUGCGAAAAGCUGCGGAGAGAUGCAAAUAAUCGGCGACCCGCAGACAUCCGAAUGGAGAAAUCCGGCUGUGAUGAUACACAGCCAUCCAUGCCCAAGAGCAUGAGAAGGGAACCGGGCGAACUGAAACAUCUAAGUAACCCGAGGAAAAGAAAUCAAACGAGAUACCCCAAGUAGCGGCGAGCGAACAGGGAAGAAGCCCAAACCGGUGAAGGAAACUUUACCGGGGUUGAGGACCAUCAGACCCGCGAAGAACCUUAGCCGAAACUGUUGGGAAACAGUGCCGAAGACAGUGAAAGCCUGGUAGGCGAAAAAGAGAAACGCGGAGAUGGCACCAGAGUACCGCGGGACACGAGAAAUCCCGUGGGAAGCAGGGGGGACCACCCUCCAAGGCAAAACACAGAUAUCGACCGAUAGCGCAUAGUACCAUGAGGGAAAGGUGAAAAGCACCCCGGGAGGGGAAUGAAAGAGAACCUGAAACCGUAUGUUUACAAGCAGUCGGAGACCGCUUAAUAAUAAGGUCGACGGCGUGCCUAUUGAAGAAUGAACCGGCGAGUUACGAAGCCUGGCAAGGUUAAGCAGGAAAUGCGGAGCCGAAGCGAAAGCGAGUCUUAAGAGGGCGCAAGUCAGGAAGCGUAGACCCGAAACCACAGUGAUCUACCCAUGUCCAGGUUGAAACACAGGUAAAAAUGUGUGGAGGACCGAACCUAUAUCCGUUGAAAAGGGUUAGGAUGAGGUGUGGGUAGGGGUGAAAUUCCAAUCGAACGUGGAGAUAGCUGGUUCUCCCCGAAAUAGCUUUAGGGCUAGCCUCAGGGAAAAGAUUGCAGGCGGUAGAGCACUGAUCAGGAGAGGGACCUACCCGGUUACCAAACCCAGUCAAACUCCGAAUGGCUGCAAUCAUACCUGGGAGUCAGACUGCGACUAAUAAGGGCCGCAGUCAAAAGGGAAACAGCCCAGACCAUCAGCUAAGGUCCCCAAUGCCGUGCUAAGUGGCGAAGGAUGUGGCAUUUCAUAAACAACCAGGAUGUUGGCUCAGAAGCAGCCACCAUUUAAAGAGUGCGUAAUAGCUCACUGGUCGAGAGACGCUGCGCCGAAAAUGUCCGGGGCUCAAGCACGGAACCGAAGCUAUGGCAUGAUAGCAAUAUCAUGGGUAGGGGAGCGUUCUUAUAAGGAAGAAGCAUGACCGGAAGGACAUGUGGACGAAUAAGAAGUGAGAAUGCCGGUAUGAGUAUCGAAAAGAAAGGUGAGAAUCCUUUCCACCGAAAGCCCGAGGGUUCCUGAGCAACGAUCGUCGACUCAGGGUAAGUCGGGACCUAAGCCGAGGCGAGAAGCGUAGGCGAUGGACAACAGGUUGAAAUUCCUGUACCGGAUCAAGUCGAUCGAGCGAAGGAGCGACGCAGGAGGGCACAUGAUCGCGCGGCUGGAAGAGCGCGUCCAAGUGCGUAUGUUGCAGCAGAGGAAAACCCCUGCAGCUAAAAGCAGAGACAUGAUGGGGAGUUAAAGGAAACUUUGACGAACUCAUGGAUCCCACACUGCCAAGAAAAACUUCUAGCGAGACAAGAUCCGCCCGUACCGUAAACCGACACAGGUAGGCGGGGAGAGAAUCCUAAGGUGCGCGGGAAAACCCUCGUUAAGGAACUCGGCAAAUUGCAUCCGUAACCUAGGGAGAAGGAUGGCCCCCUGUCAGUGAAGAGCAGAAACGCUCAGAGCUAAAAGGGGCGGCAGAAAAGAGGCCCAAGCAACUGUUUACCAAAAACACAGGUGCCUGCGAAAGCGAAAGCUGAAGUAUAGGUGCUGACGCCUGCCCGGUGCCGGAAGGUUAAGGAGAGAAGUUAGCGAAAGCGAAGCAUCGAACUGAAGCCCCGGUGAACGGCGGCCGUAACUAUAACGGUCCUAAGGUAGCGAAAUUCCUUGUCGGGUAAGUUCCGACCCGCACGAA